rnacentral:tRNA from 1 species
GUUAGGGCUGCAUAGAGCUCACUCCUGCUAGACCGAUGGGGUCAAACUGGAUAUUUUUCUAAUUAGAACACACUGGAAAGCACGCGAAACUUGCUCUCAGAAAUAAAGCAAAAAACAGUUUUCGCAGGAGGACAGAUGCCCGAGCGGUUAAGGGGACGGUCUCAAGUGGAAUACACUUUCCCUGAUAAGGGUUGAAAUCCGUUGCGUAAGCGCGUGAGUUCGAAUCUCACUCUGUUCAUUUUUUUGGUUUUUUCCCAGAACACCCUAUCCGUCAUCUUUCAUGUUCUUGCCGCGUAAACUUCUUCACGAACAGCCCAUAUAGCUUCAGCAUAUCCAUUCCAUUCCUGUUCACCGCAAUUACGUCUGGUGGGUUGAUACUCUGUUGUGUGGACAUUUGAAACAGAGGCGACAAGAGACCAGACGAUUCAUAUGCUAAGUGGUAUAUACGAUGCUGGGUAAUCAACCAGGAACAGGAAUUACUUGUCAAAUUACGCUAGUUCUUUACUUCCAUUACUUUUCAAAAGGCCUUCCCCUCUCAGAGGUCGAAAAAUUAUAUUGGAUUAAUGGUAAGUCGUUAAAACGAUGUGUGGUCCGUCGUAUGAUCAUAAUUCGUGUACGUCCGUAAAUGUGCUUUUUCCUUUUUCUCCGUCCAAGUGUUGCCUGGAGAUCAUCCAAUUACCCUUCUCCAAGCUUCUCUUCCGACAUCCAUACCUAUCCAUCUCUUACCUACAUCCACUCUCCCACUUUCGACAACCUCCGCCAGCAGACCUCCUGGUAAGACGACUCCUGCCCCCACUCCUGGUAUACCCGCGCUCGGUCCAGGAAGCGCUUCUCGAUCAGGUACCUGAGCGUUGAGUACGUCGUAUGCUUGACGAAGAGUCAUCUUGAUGGCGUUCAUGGAAGAUGAAACAGCGGAUAUGGUUGGGAGAGACGCCGCAAGAGAGAUGAGAUGAAAAACUGCAAGGCCUAGAAGGGGUCGAUAUAAAGCGAAUGAGCUGAUUAAAGAUGUCAGUUCAGUCUAAGACCUGAAGAUCCCUUACUAAGGCAAAGUUCUCCCUACUUCGGCAGAACAAAUGCUUUGAAUCACUCCAAUAGCCGCUUCUCGUCCUUUUUCCAGCAGCGGCUGACCGUCAGGGGACGCCGCGAGUUCCUCCCAUGCAGUUGCAUCGGCAAAGUAAACAGGUGAAACAGUGAAGAGGACUGCGUAGGUGUAAUGCAAUGACAGAAUUCUGUGGAUGAUUAUGCGUUAGCCUGCGACGGAGGCACAGUCCUACAAGGGGAGGAAAUGAACUCACGGAUCCGCUCUCGCACCGAAGGCAUUUGCCCAACCUUCCCAUUGCCGCCCAAACUCUCUCCAGGGAUCGAAAAGACGCUUUUCACGCGCUUCCAAGGGAGUUUGAUAUUCCGGGUCCCGCGAUGAUGGGGGCAUACGAAACCGGAAGACUGACUCAAAAGUCAGUGACUUUUUUCGAUUCGACAGGAAAGAAUCCACAUACCAUCAGCGAGAAGCUCCGAAUAUUCAAGCCAUGCCAGCAAUUUUGCAUCCCUGUCCCUUAUGGCUGGUUCUGCCGACGGCAGCUCAGCGAGGCGGUCUCUCCACACAGCGGAAAGCCCCUCAUCCGUGAUAGGCUUCAGAAAGUCUGGAAUAUGACACCUGUAGGAGUGUAAGAAGGGUGACUGGGCAAGCAAGAAAGGUAUACGCUUACAUAUUAUCCAUUAUAACAAUAUAAAUCCAUUCACGCCAAUCGUCAUGCGUUCUUCUUUGUCGAUCUAAACCCAUCAUCCUACCAUGUGCCACAGCUAACCCGGCAUAGAUGGUAUCGUUUGUCCAUGUUCUAUCCAUAUAUAAGUUAGAAGCAGCUUAGUACGAAAGCUGACGCCACUCACGCAAGAACAGUCAAUGCCCUCAUCUCUUCUUUGCCCCAUUCCUUCCCUUCUCCAAUCAAUCUUCCAACUUCUCUUCUCGCUUCCCUUUCCAAACCCAUCGUACUUCCCAUCCCCUGGCCGGCUGCCAUCUUCUCAACUUCCUCUGCUCUUCGGCCCAGGAAAUCCACUACCAUCCCGGGCAGUCCGAUUCCGUCUCUCAAACCGAUCAACCAUGGUGUCAAAGGCCAAGCUCGGGUACGAUAGUGUUCCCAAGUUGUGUCAGACACUGUGAGUACUCGACGCGGAGCAACUUGUGCCCGGAGCUCAGCCACGGAUUGUUGAAGAGACGAUAGUGCGCUUGGAACCCAUGCAAGUGGUCUUAACGUGGAAUCGAUUGUACGCUCGAGCGCCCUAAGCCGUGCAUCUGAAGACGACGGUGAAGGUGGUGGUCGUUGAACCGGUACCGUAAAUGGUGGGGGGUGCACAACCUGAGGUGGCGGCGGAGGAGGAGGCUGGAAAUAGACACCCGAUGGGCCGGCUGAAGGCAUUGACUGAGGCGGAGGUGUUCUUCUGUGUAGUUGUCCCGGAUAAAAAGAGGUCAUGCUCGAGGUUGCUGAGGGGGGAGGCAUCUCGCGACUAGUAGGCCGAAAGGCGUAUUCUUGAUUCAUCGGUCGAGACGUUAUUGGUGGCGCUGGCUGAGGCCCGGAGGGGUAAAAUGAUGCCGGUGACCCUGGUCUCCCAGGAUAAUAAGGACGGGAUGGAAUGACGGAAAUGGAUUUGGGACGCGAGCGCGGUUCGAAGAUGCAUUGCUGGCCCGCCUGUCGGCAGCCUCUGCAGGGAACUUUGCUGGGCCCGUCGCAUUUCAUUCUACAAUCGAUGUAUAAGCUUGAAUUAAGAGGAUCAUCCAGAACAACGGCACAUACUUUUGACGACGACAUCUGACACAAGCCAUCAUACUCCUCGGAGCACGAGGAUUAACAUCCCUUGUGAAUACAACGCUGGAAGAAGAUCCUGGAGCAGCACUACUUGGGCCCCCUGUUGUUCCGCUGGGUUCGGGAUCAUCCUCCUCCAUCUUCGGGGAUUGCGACCCUUCAGCGCCUUGAGAAGGUCGAGACGCUCCUCGCCACGCUGAUGACCAGGUUGAUGGCCCACCGUAGCUGGGAGGUGGCGCUCCGCUCUGUAUUGGUGGUAAGGUAAGGGAAGGCGAUGGACGGCGUAAUGGUCCUUGAGACACAGGUGUAUCUGGUUCGGGGGAAGAUGUCCUCCUAGGACGUUUGGCAGGGGAAGGGUUCAUUAUUGGAGAAGAAUCGGAGGAUGAACUUUGUUCCAUGAGUAGUUCUUGAUGAGCACGUCGGUGAUGCAAUGCAGAAUGAUUAAACCCAAA